UUUCCAGACUCCUACGGGAGGCAGCAGUGGGGGAUAUUGCACAAUGGGGGAAACCCUGAUGCAGCGACGCCGCGUGUGGGAAGACGGUCCUCUGGCUUGUAAACCACUGUCCCCAGGGACGAAAAUGACGGUACCUGGGGAGGAAGCUCCGGCUAACUCCGUGCCAGCAGCCGCGGUAAUACGGAGGAUGCGAGCGUUAUCCGGAUUUAUUGGGUUUAAAGGGAGCGCAGGCGGCACGGCAAGCCGGCGGGCAAAUCGCGGGGCUCAACCCCGCCCAGCCGUCGGAACUGCCGGGCUAGAGUGGGCGAGAAGUGCGCGGAAUGCGUGGUGUAGCGGUGAAAUGCAUAGAUAUCACGCAGAACUCCGAUUGCGAAGGCAGCGCACCGGCGCCCUACUGACGCUCAGGCACGAACGCGUGGGUAUCGAACAGGAUUAGAUACCCCCGUAGUA
rnacentral:rRNA from 1 species